rnacentral:rRNA from 1 species
GCGAAACCUCCGCAAUGCGAGCAAUCGCGACGGGGGGACCCCAAGUGCCACUCUUAACGGGGUGGCUUUUCUUAAGUGUAAAAAGCUUUUGGAAUAAGGGCUGGGCAAGACCGGUGCCAGCCGCCGCGGUAACACCGGCAGCCCGAGUGGUGGCCAUUCUUAUUGAGACUAAAGCGUUCGUAGCCGGCCUGAUAAGUCUCUGGUGAAAUCCUACAGCUUAACUGUGGGAAUUGCUGGAGAUACUAGUAGGCUUGAGGUCGGGAGAGGUUAGCGGUACUCCCAGGGUAGGGGUGAAACCCUAUAAUCCUGGGAGGACCACCUGUGGCGAAGGCGUCUCACCAGAACGGACCUGACGGCAAGGGACGAAAGCUAGGGGCACGAACC